rnacentral:lncRNA from 1 species
GGGUUAUUGAAUGUCCAAGCUACAAAUUAGGUGAAAAACAGUUAACCCAUUCCUUUCUAUAUGUGCUGAAAUGCCCUAUUCCUUUGCUGGGUUGGGACCUACUGCAUAAAUUAGGAGCCUCCAUUUAUUUGAAAGGGUAAGUGAAGGUAAAUAUCGCCACAGCAUUUGGUCACCAGCUGAUGAUACUCCUGACAAAAGGGACUGAGUCAAAAGACUUAAAGGGAAAUAAUAGAAUUACCAGAGGUAAAUCCCUGAGCCAUCUGAGUGGACCCCAUGAUUGUCGAACUAAAACCUGGGCACAAGUGCCCAAAUGUUAAACAAUAUCUUCUCAGACAGGAUGCCCUAAAUGACAUGGCCCCUGUCAUAAAGAACUUGUCUAAGUCAUGAUGUGGUACCAGCUGAUGGCACAGUGAGAGUAAUGGGGGUGAACCAUGGAACCAAGGGUGGGUUUCUACUGGGGCUGAGAUUCUAUUUGCUUGUGAAAGUUCCUGGAUCCUUUAGAAUUGGUUUUCCUUCCCUAGUAUUGUGAGGCCAUGAGGACCCCGUGCAUUCAUGGUUGGUGGCUCCUGUGGUGACCAGAACAGAAACUGCCACUUGCUGAAAGAGGAAAGGACAGCAACAGCCUCGGGCCAGGGAGGUGACCACCAGGAAAUGAGGUGGGACACAGCCUGGUUACCUGUGCUCAGACAGCUUGGACGUGGUACUCAGAGGGUGCCUUUGAAGCUGGAUGAAUGGACAAGUCACUACAUGGAAAUAGAAGCUCAGAGAGAAAGCAGAAAUGCCAAGAAGAACAGAUAGCUGACAGGGCCCACUGGUACGGGGCCGCUUCCCUGUCUAAGAAGCUCGCUGUGUGGCAAAGGCGCUCUGCAGGGGCUGUAGGUGAAACCUGGGAGGAAAGCGCUGAACUGGGGAGCAGGCAGCCCAGCCCCAACCUGCUGAGGCUGCAUUCUGAGGACCCACUGGCCCAGCCCUGUUCUGUGGGUUUGAUGUUUCCCGCAACUUGGGCCAAAUUCCCAGUGAAACUCACUGGCCCAGCCUGCCCUUGGCCUUUCCAGCUCUGCCCCAGGAGCCACCCUGCUCCCCACGGAGAUCAAAGGCUCUCUGGCCUCUGGGACUCACCCAUGCUGCUCCCUGGCCUGGCACAUCCCUCCUCCCUCUUCUCUGCACAGGCCCUCCUCACACUGCCCUGUGGGCAUCAGUCCUGUCAUCUUCUCCCAGAACUCGCUGCCUAUGCCUGCUUCCUUCUGCCCUGGACCCCCGCGGCUGUCCACGUUCUACAUCCUGCGCCCCCCACCCCCGCCCCGCCAUGUGCCCCCGAUUCUCCUGAUGGAUUUCCUUAUUUAUUAUUGUUGCCCUGCAGUGUGGGGAGCAGUGCCUGAUGCUCCUCCAGGAGAUGGCCUGGGGCCUGGCACAGGCUGUUCCUCUGUAGGGAAGCUCUCUCCCCCUCCCCCCGGUUAACAACUGCUCACUCACUCAAGGGGCCCUUCCUCCCACAAGCUCCCCAACCCCCAGGCCAAGCCCGGCUGUGCUGGUGGAUGCUCUUGGGGCUCCCUUCCAGCAGCAACCUCGUUACACAUUUAUGACGCAGGUGUGUGAAUGGUGCCCAUCUCCUGCCCCCAUGAGAAGCUUCACAAAGGCAGGGAGCACGUCCACCCUGCUCCUACUGCCCGGCACUCACUGACCUGGUGCUGAUGCGGCGCUGAGAGCAGGGCCUCUAUUACUGCUGCAUCUUCAGAGCACCCAAGACGUGCUCAGAAAUAGGGGUCUGUCCCCACCCCAGCCUGAUUGCAGAAUGACUGGCCCGUGUGCCUCCUCUCACCGUCUGGCCUGCAGAGACGGGGAAAGUGCCCAGUGUAGGCCCAGCCCAGGGGUCUAUUUUUUUUUUUUUAAAGAUUUUAUUUUUUCCUUUUUCUCCCCAAAGCCCCCCGGUACAUAGUUGUGUAUUCUUCGUUG